rnacentral:tRNA from 1 species
ACGCCGGGCGGAUGGGAUUUGAUUUGCCGAGCUAUCUACACGGCCAUGCGGCGCCGGUUGCGGCGCGCGUGCAUCUCCCGCUCGGUCUCC